rnacentral:rRNA from 1 species
UCCUGGUGGCGAGUGGCGAACGGGUGAGUAAUACAUCGGAACGUGCCCAAUCGUGGGGGAUAACGUAGCGAAAGCUACGCUAAUACCGCAUACGAUCUACGGAUGAAAGCGGGGGACUCGCAAGGGCCUCGCGCGAAUGGAGCGGCCGAUGGCAGAUUAGGUAGUUGGUGGGGUAAAGGCUCACCAAGCCUUCGAUCUGUAGCUGGUCUGAGAGGACGACCAGCCACACUGGGACUGAGACACGGCCCAGACUCCUACGGGAGGCAGCAGUGGGGAAUUUUGGACAAUGGGCGCAAGCCUGAUCCAGCCAUUCCGCGUGCAGGAUGAAGGCCUUCGGGUUGUAAACUGCUUUUGGACGGAACGAAAAGCCUUUCUCUAAUACGGGAAGGUCAUGACGGUACCGUCAGAAUAAGCACCGGCUAACUACGUGCCAGCAGCCGCGGUAAUACGUAGGGUGCAAGCGUUAAUCGGAAUUACUGGGCGUAAAGCGUGCGCAGGCGGUGAUGUAAGACAGAUGUGAAAUCCCCGGGCUCAACCUGGGAACUGCAUUUGUGACUGCAUCGCUGGAGUACGGCAGAGGGGAUGGAAUUCCGCGUGUAGCAGUG